rnacentral:tRNA from 1 species
GGAAGGGUAGCUCAGGUGGGUAGAGCAAUGGCCUGAAAAGCCAUGUGUCGCUGGUUCAACUCCAUGCCCCUUCCA